GCCUGUGUGGUGUAGUGGUUAACGCUGCUCUUUUAGAAAUUUUCGACGCGGGUUCGAAUCCCAAAGGCC